GGCCCUGUAGCCUAGCCUGGAUAGGGCGACAGCCUUCUAAGCUGAGAUAAGUGAGCUAUGGCUCGUUAUCGUUUAUUAGAUCCCGCGUUCGAAUCGCGGCAGGGCCG
rnacentral:tRNA from 1 species